rnacentral:rRNA from 1 species
GAUGAACGCUGGCGGCGUGCCUAAUACAUGCAAGUCGAGCGAACAGACGAGGAGCUUGCUCCUCUGACGUUAGCGGCGGACGGGAGAGUAACACGUGGAUAACCUACCUAUCAGACUGGGAUAACUUCGGGAAACCGGAGCUAAUACCGGAUAAUAUAUUGAACCGCAUGGUUCAAUAGUGAAAGACGGUUUUGCUGUCACUAAUAGAUGGAUCCGCGCCGCAUUAGCUAGUUGGUAAGGUAACGGCUUACCAAGGCAACGAUGCGUAGCCGACCUGAGAGGGUGAUCGGCCACACUGGAACUGAGACACGGACCAGACUCCUACGGGAGGCAGCAGUAGGGAAUCUUCCGCAAUGGGCGAAAGCCUGACGGAGCAACGCCGCGUGAGUGAUGAAGGUCUUCGGAUCGUAAAACUCUGUUAUUAGGGAAGAACAAAUGUGUAAGUAACUAUGCACGUCUUGACGGUACCUAAUCAGAAAGCCACGGCUAACUACGUG